UUGGAGGGCAAGUCUGGUGCCAGCAGCCGCGGUGAUUCCAGCUCCAAUAGCGUAUACUAAAGUUGUUGCAGUUAAAAAGCUCGUAGUUGAACUUCGGGGUUCACCCAUUGGUCAGGCUUAAUUGUCUGCACUGGUGAGAUGAAUCUCUACCUUCUGAGGAACUUUCAUGCCAUUUAUUUGGUGUGAUGGGAAAUCAGGACUGUUACUUUGAAAAAAUUAGAGUGUUUAAAGCAGGCUAACGUCUGAAUACAUUAGCAUGGAAUAAUGAAAUAGGACGGACUGAUUCUAUUUCGUUGGUUUCUAGGAUCACCGUAAUGAUUAAUAGGGAUAGUUGGGGGCAUUAGUAUUCAAUUGUCAGAGGUGAAAUUCUUGGAUUUAUUGAAGACUAACUACUGCGAAAGCAUUUGCCAAGGAUGUUUUCAUUAAUCAAGAACGAAAGUUAGGGGAUCGAAGACGAUCAGAUACCGUCGUAGUCUUAACCAUAAACUAUGCCGACUAGGGAUCGGACGAAGUUAAUUUUAUAAUGACGCGUUCGGCGCCUUACGGGAAAC
rnacentral:rRNA from 1 species